GUGUCAGCCGCCGCGGUAACACGGGGGGAGCAAGCGUUGUUCGGAAUCACUGGGCGUAAAGGGCGUCUAGGCGGUCAGAUAAGUGGGAUGUGAAAUGCCCCGGCUCACCCGGGGACCGGCAUCCCAAACUGUCUGGCUUGAGUAUGGGAGAGGAUGUGGGAAUUCCUGGUGUAGCGGUGAAAUGCGUAGAUAUCAGGAGGAACACCGGUGGCGAAGGCGCACAUCUGGCCCAAUACUGACGCUAAAGCGCGAAAGCUAGGGGAGCAAACGGGAUUAGAAACCCCCGUAGUCC
rnacentral:rRNA from 1 species